rnacentral:rRNA from 1 species
UACGUAGGGGGCAAGCGUUGUCCGGAUUUAUUGGGCGUAAAGAGCGUGUAGGCGGCCAUACAGGUCAGCUGUGAAAACUCGAGGCUCAACCUCGAGACGUCGGUUGAAACCGUAUGGCUAGAGUCCGGAAGAGGAGAGUGGAAUUCCCGGUGUAGCGGUGAAAUGCGCAGAUAUCGGGAAGAACACCCGUGGCGAAGGCGGCUCUCUGGGACGUUACUGACGCUGAGACGCGAAAGCGUGGGGAGCAAACAGG